AUGGGGAAGGAACGUUGUUGUUUGCAAGGUCUCGAUCAUUUACAUGGACCCACUUCUCAUUCCAUUUGUGGGAAUUUGAUGAUUUAUAAACCGUCCCCAACGAGCGAAAGGUUCAUGUUUGAACAUGAUAAAUCACUUCGUGCCGACCUGUUGCCCAUAAACUUUCCUGCCUCAUAUGAGGAUGGAAAACUGGAAGAUUUUCUGCAUCGGUGGAUGAAGAAUCACGAACAUAAGAAUUUCUGGUUUAGCAUGUUCCCAGAAAGAAGAUACUUUUUUUCCAUUCGAGAAACGAGGAGCACGACUGAAGUGGCUAUACAUACAAAUCCAUUUACGGAUCUAUAUGCUCCAAUUGGAACUGGAAGUUCCAGAACUGGCGGCUGGUAUACCACCAUAAUGAAAUUGCCUUUUAUUUUUAGUAUUCGGUAG
rnacentral:rRNA from 1 species